AUUGAUACAGCAAAUAUCCUUUUACUAUAUGCUUGACAUCCCAGUCAUCACACAAGAGCAGGCAGUUGUAGACCAACUCCUCAGUUAUUGGGACGAUAGCAAGAGGGGAUUUCAUUUAGGAGGGUAGAUUUUGAUCUUCUCUGCUGAGGAUGUUGCUCUCAUUUUGGAGCUACGCCUAAAUGGGGUAGCCAUUGAUAUGAAGAAGGCUCCCCAUAGUGUAGUUAGGACCACAUAUUUUGCAGGAGAGAUAGUUAGGAGAG
rnacentral:lncRNA from 1 species